GAGACAUGUGUAUGGGAAGACAGCUUGAGAUGCCAUCUCUAAUGGUUUCUGAUCAAUAAAAGAUUACAACUGGUUAGAUAAGGGAUCACUAAAGUUACUGCCCAUUUGCAGAUUUCUUUUGACUAACUUGGAGGGUGUGAAAAUGCAUUAUUUGAGCAUGUAACAGGAUAUCCAUCUGCUGUUCUUCUGAUGGCAUAGAGAAGCAAAAUAUGGAAUACUCCAGUCUCUGAAGUAUUAAAGCUACAUGCUACCCAAAGAGAAAAUAAGAAAUGCAUGAUGAGAGUGAGAACACUGAGCCAUGCUAUCAGUGCACAAUUUUGCUGGAGCUACUGCAUAAUGAAAAAGAGAACAUCCAAGAAAUGUAUGAGAAAACCAAAGCAUGAGUUUCCCAAGGCCACCCAGCUACUAAGUGUCGGAAGCAGCAUUUGAAUUCAGGUCUUCCAUGGUGCUGCCUAACUAAUAAAUUAUCUAGAGGAAGUUCCUAAGAAUAUUUCAGAUGAGAAAGCUGAGCCCCAAAGAGACUGAAUGGUCCAACCAAAGCCACCCAGGCAGGAAGUAGAAGAGCUGAAAUUUGAACCCAGGUGCUCUGACCAGUACCAUCUUGUCACUGUGGACAUCUGUGCUUCCAAGGGAAUAACUUGUUUGGCUGUCCUCCUCAUAUGGGUGCUAAAGACACAAAGCCCCGGGAUUUAAACUUGGGGGUUAUAGGGGAACAAAAAGGCAUGAGUGUGCCAAGUCCGAGAGAUAUUUUCUUGAUUUAGUAGUAAUGACUUAAAAAGUUCAGGCAGGGGUGCCUCAUUUUAUUCUUGCCACUAGAUGGCAAUCUUCAUACAUUUAAAUACCUUUUGUUUGAAGGAAGUGAAUUGAUUGAAAUCUUUAAAAUGGGAUAGAGAGCAGGAUGGUUAGAUUUAGGCAGCAUUUUAUUGUAAAGCCCUUCUCUUUAGGAAAUUCUUGUGAAUUCCUAAUAUUUCACAAGUGGAAAUGAGAGAAAUAUAUGUCUAAUCAAUUUCUUCACAAAAAGAAGGUCUUUUUUUUUUUUUUUUUAAAUCUCCUCCAGACUUGCUAAUUGACAUUUGUAAAACAUUAAGGACUUUUUUCUGGAGUUUUUGUUUGAUUCUAAGAAUGUAUUUAUGCAAUCACAUUAGAGACAACUUGGCACAGUGAAAAGAGAAAAAGCCUUAAGUUUUAACUCCAGCUCUGAUAUAUAUUUGUGUUAAUCUCUCUGAACCUCAUUUUCUUCAUUGGCAAGAAAAAUACUUUAUCUUCAUAGUUACACAAUUGACUGAGGAGUAUAGAUAAUAUAAGAACUCACUGAGCCUAUUGUUUGCUGAUUCUAGCUAAGUAUUUGACUUGGCAAAAUGUAGGCCUUUUUCCAAAAUGCUUCUAGUUUGUAUGCUACCAUCAUAUGAUUCCUUGAUAGAUGCAACCAUAAAGUUCAAUCUUGUUCAA